rnacentral:rRNA from 1 species
GAUGAACGCUGGCGGCGUGCUUAACACAUGCAAGUCGAACGGAAAGCCCCUUCGGGGGAAUUCGAGUGGCGAACGGGUGAGUAACACGUGGGGAAUCUGCCCUUCUCUCUGGGAUAACUCGGGGAAACUCGAGCUAAUACCGGAUAUUCCGAUCAGGUCGCAUGGCCAGAUCGGGAAAGCUCCGGCGGAGAAGGAUGACCCCGCGGCCCAUUAGCUUGUUGGUGAGGUAACGGCUCACCAAGGCGACGAUGGGUAGCCGAGCUGAGAGGCUGAUCGGCCACACUGGGACUGAGACACGGCCCAGACUCCUACGGGAGGCAGCAGUGGGGAAUCUUGCGCAAUGGGCGAAAGCCUGACGCGGCAACGCCGCGUGCGGGAUGAAGGCUCUCGGGUCGUAAACCGCUUUCAGCAGGGAUGAAAUUGACAGUACCUGCAGAAGAAGCCCCGGCUAAAUACGUGCCAGCCGCCGCCGUAAAAC